UGGGCUAAUUAUGAGAAUGUGUCAUAAGUCAAGGAAUAUGACUAAUACAGUUCUAUGUCCUGGAGAGUCAAAG
rnacentral:snoRNA from 1 species